AGUGAACGCUGGCGGUAGGCCUAACACAUGCAAGUCGAACGGCAGCACAGUAAGAGCUUGCUCUUACGGGUGGCGAGUGGCGGACGGGUGAGGAAUACAUCGGAAUCUACUUUUUCGUGGGGGAUAACGUAGGGAAACUUACGCUAAUACCGCAUACGACCUACGGGUGAAAGCAGGGGAUCUUCGGACCUUGCGCGAUUGAAUGAGCCGAUGUCGGGUUAGCUAGUUGGCGGGGUAAAGGCCCACCAAGGCGACGAUCCGUAGCUGGUCUGAGAGGAUGAUCAGCCACACUGGAACGGAGCCACGGUCCAGACUCCUACGGGAGGCAGCAGUGGGGAAUAUUGGACAAUGGGCGCAAGCCUGAUCCAGCCAUACCGCGUGGGUGAAGAAGGCCUUCGGGUUGGAAAGCCCUUUUGUUGGGAAAGAAAAGCAGCAGGUUAAUACCCAGCUGUUCUGACGGUACCCAAAGAAUAAGCACCGGCUAACUUCGUG
rnacentral:rRNA from 1 species